CUCUCUCCUCCUGCUCUUCUCCUCCAGUGUUGCAAGCCCUGCACCAGAUGGCGUUGGUGUUGGAUGAGGAGGACUCGGAGUGCGCUCCACUCGACCCCGUCCUGGAGCAGGAAGACAUCUACCAGCAUGUGGAGAGCCUAUUCGCUGCCUCAGGUGUCAAUCUGCAGAGAGAGGCAGGCUCUGUGAAGAUCAAUGAAAAGUACUUCCAAGUAUACCCACUGGGUGUUGCUGUCACCGGAUUGGCUGUUCUGGCGAGUAGUGAGUGAGGCAGACGGAAGAAGGAAUAGAAAAGCGGGCAAGAAGGACACACAAACUUAAAUAAAAAAUGCGUAUAUAUCCAAACAUGACCCUUUACCAGUCACUGGGUGCGUUCCAAUAUGUGACCUUGCGUCCUCCACUUGUGCUUGUGGCCUCGUACCAGGAAGUAAUACGUUGUGAUGAUGACAUCACUGACAAAAGCAUUAUAUUUCAAUAUCUUGCAAAAGCUCAAUUGUAAUGUCAUUUUCUCAUUUGCAAUACGGAUGGUAAAUGAAGAAUAGUCCCCAAAAAUUGUUGUGGCUAUGCUGACAGCGGGGAAACGUAAUUGUUUUCUCCACGGAGGCGGGCGUCAGCAAAACGUGAGGCCACAAGCCCAAGUGGAGGACGCAAGGUUGCAUAUUGGAAUGCACUCACUAAAUUACAGGCCGCUUACUGCUAUUGCUGUCCAGUGCGCAUACACACUUUGCCAUUUAAAUGAUUUCAUGAAUAGAUGACUACACUGCUGUGACAAAACAUGUAGAUGACUAUACUGCUGUGAUGUACACAGAGUGUUACACUGCAGACCAUUUGCUCUUUUUUAUCAAAGAAUAAAAUAACUUUUUAUUUUCA